UCAGAUGAGCAUCCCCUCAAUUCUUUCAUCCAAGUCGUUUAUGAAGACCUUUGAACAACAACGGGCCAAGGAUAGAACUUUUGGGUGUGAUGAAUUUGAAUCUGCUGUCAUUUUUGUGACUGGACAACAUUUAACUUGGAGCAUGCCAGGAAGAAAAUAUACAUGCACUGAGGGAAGCAGGGAGGAAGGAGUGGGCAUGGAAAGAGGAAUAGAAGAAAGUGACUGUUGAUCCAUCCACCCCAAAACAUUGGACUAAUUUGGAGUCCAUUUCUACCCAAUUGAGUGGAUUAGCCCCAUAUCAGGUACGCUAUGAGCGCCACGGCAACCCCCACAUAGAUGCCUGUUCCAAUAGUGAUGGACAGCACAGCCAGGAAGAGGGCUCGUCGUGA